GCGACCGACAGCAAGAUCCCCGAUGCACAGGCCGGUUAUGAAAAGGCCCUGUCAAUCACCAUGGCGGCACAUGCGGGGGCCAACUUGAUCACCCAG
rfam:Rhodobacteraceae bacterium EhC02 A5_Contig23, whole genome shotgun sequence.